GGUUAAGCGACUAAGCGUACACGGUGGAUGCCCUGGCAGUCAGAGGCGAUGAAGGACGUGCUAAUCUGCGAAAAGCGUCGGUAAGGUGAUAUGAACCGUUAUAACCGGCGAUGUCCGAAUGGGGAAACCCAGUGCAAUUCGUUGCACUAUCGUUAACUGAAUACAUAGGUUAACGAGGCGAACCGGGGGAACUGAAACAUCUAAGUACCCCGAGGAAAAGAAAUCAACCGAGAUUCCCCCAGUAGCGGCGAGCGAACGGGGAGCAGCCCAGAGUCUGAAUCAGCUUGUGUGUUAGUGGAACGGUCUGGAAAGUCCGACGGUACAGGGUGAUAGUCCCGUACACCAAAAUGCACAGGCUGUGAACUCGAAGAGUAGGGCGGGACACGUGGUAUCCUGUCUGAAUAUGGGGGGACCAUCCUCCAAGGCUAAAUACUCCUGACUGACCGAUAGUGAACCAGUACCGUGAGGGAAAGGCGAAAAGAACCCCGGCGAGGGGAGUGAAAAAGAACCUGAAACCGUGUACGUACAAGCAGUGGGAGCACCUUCGGGUGUGACUGCGUACCUUUUGUAUAAUGGGUCAGCGACUUAUAUUCUGUAGCAAGGUUAACCGUAUAGGGGAGCCGCAGGGAAACCGAGUCUUAACUGGGCGUUAAGUUGCAGGGUAUAGACCCGAAACCCGGUGAUCUAGCCAUGGGCAGGUUGAAGGUUGGGUAACACUAACUGGAGGACCGAACCGACUAAUGUUGAAAAAUUAGCGGAUGACUUGUGGCUGGGGGUGAAAGGCCAAUCAAACCGGGAGAUAGCUGGUUCUCCCCGAAAGCUAUUUAGGUAGCGCCUCGUGAAUUCAUCUUCGGGGGUAGAGCACUGUUUCGGCUAGGGGGUCAUCCCGACUUACCAACCGAUGCAAACUACGAAUACCGAAGAAUGUUAUCACGGGAGACACACGGCGGGUGCUAACGUCCGUCGUGAAGAGGGAAACAACCCAGACCGCCAGCUAAGGUCCCAAAGUCAUGGUUAAGUGGGAAACGAUGUGGGAAGGCACAGACAGCCAGGAUGUUGGCUUAGAAGCAGCCAUCAUUUAAAGAAAGCGUAAUAGCUCACUGGUCGAGUCGGCCUGCGCGGAAGAUGUAACGGGGCUAAACCAUGCACCGAAGCUGCGGCAGCGACACUAUGUGUUGUUGGGUAGGGGAGCGUUCUGUAAGCCUGCGAAGGUGUGCUGUGAGGCAUGCUGGAGGUAUCAGAAGUGCGAAUGCUGACAUAAGUAACGAUAAAGCGGGUGAAAAGCCCGCUCGCCGGAAGACCAAGGGUUCCUGUCCAACGUUAAUCGGGGCAGGGUGAGUCGACCCCUAAGGCGAGGCCGAAAGGCGUAGUCGAUGGGAAACAGGUUAAUAUUCCUGUACUUGGUGUUACUGCGAAGGGGGGACGGAGAAGGCUAUGUUAGCCGGGCGACGGUUGUCCCGGUUUAAGCAUGUAGGCUGGUUGUCCAGGCAAAUCCGGAUAAUCAAGGCUGAGGUGUGAUGACGAGGCACUACGGUGCUGAAGUAACAAAUGCCCUGCUUCCAGGAAAAGCCUCUAAGCAUCAGGUAACAUCAAAUCGUACCCCAAACCGACACAGGUGGUCAGGUAGAGAAUACCAAGGCGCUUGAGAGAACUCGGGUGAAGGAACUAGGCAAAAUGGUGCCGUAACUUCGGGAGAAGGCACGCUGGUGUGUAGGUGAAGUCCCUGCGGAUGGAGCUGAGACCAGUCGAAGAUACCAGCUGGCUGCAACUGUUUAUUAAAAACACAGCACUGUGCAAACACGAAAGUGGACGUAUACGGUGUGACGCCUGCCCGGUGCCGGAAGGUUAAUUGAUGGGGUUAUCCGUAAGGAGAAGCUCUUGAUCGAAGCCCCGGUAAACGGCGGCCGUAACUAUAACGGUCCUAAGGUAGCGAAAUUCCUUGUCGGGUAAGUUCCGACCUGCACGAAUGGCGUAAUGAUGGCCAGGCUGUCUCCACCCGAGACUCAGUGAAAUUGAACUCGCUGUGAAGAUGCAGUGUACCCGCGGCAAGACGGAAAGACCCCGUGAACCUUUACUAUAGCUUGACACUGAACAUUGAGCCUUGAUGUGUAGGAUAGGUGGGAGGCUUUGAAGCGUGGACGCCAGUCUGCGUGGAGCCAACCUUGAAAUACCACCCUUUAAUGUUUGAUGUUCUAACGUUGGCCCCUUACCGGGGUUGCGGACAGUGUCUGGUGGGUAGUUUGACUGGGGCGGUCUCCUCCCAAAGCGUAACGGAGGAGCACGAAGGUUAGCUAAUCCUGGUCGGACAUCAGGAGGUUAGUGCAAUGGCAUAAGCUAGCUUGACUGCGAGCGUGACGGCGCGAGCAGGUGCGAAAGCAGGUCAUAGUGAUCCGGUGGUUCUGAAUGGAAGGGCCAUCGCUCAACGGAUAAAAGGUACUCCGGGGAUAACAGGCUGAUACCGCCCAAGAGUUCAUAUCGACGGCGGUGUUUGGCACCUCGAUGUCGGCUCAUCACAUCCUGGGGCUGAAGUAGGUCCCAAGGGUAUGGCUGUUCGCCAUUUAAAGUGGUACGCGAGCUGGGUUUAGAACGUCGUGAGACAGUUCGGUCCCUAUCUGCCGUGGGCGCUGGAGAAUUGAGGGGGGCUGCUCCUAGUACGAGAGGACCGGAGUGGACGCAUCACUGGUGUUCGGGUUGUCAUGCCAAUGGCACUGCCCGGUAGCUAAAUGCGGAAGAGAUAAGUGCUGAAAGCAUCUAAGCACGAAACUUGCCCCGAGAUGAGUUCUCCCUGAGACUUUAAGUCUCCUGAAGGAACGUUAAAGACGAUGACGUUGAUAGGCCGGGUGUGUAAGCGCAGCGAUGCGUUGAGCUAACCGGUACUAAUGAACCGUGAGGCUUAACCUU
rnacentral:rRNA from 1 species